rnacentral:rRNA from 1 species
CUACGGGGCGCAGCAGUGAGGAAUAUUGCGCAAUGGGGGAAACCCUGACGCAGCGACGCCGCGUGGAGGAUGACGCAUUUCGGUGUGUAAACUCCUUUUAUAUGUCAAGAAAAUGACGGUAGCAUAUGAAUAAGCACCGGCUAACUCCGUGCCAGCAGCCGCGGUAAUACGGAGGGUGCAAGCGUUACUCGGAAUCACUGGGCGUAAAGGACGCGUAGGCGGGUUGGAAAGUCAGGUGUGAAAUCCUACAGCUUAACUGUAGAACUGCACUUGAAACUUCUAAUCUAGAGUAUGGGAGGGGGAGAUGGAAUUAGUGGUGUAGGGGUAAAAUCCGUAGAUAUCACUAGGAAUACCUAAAGCGAAGGCGAUCUCCUGGAACAUUACUGACGCUAAGGCGUGAAAGCGUGGGGAGCAAACAGGAUUAGAUACCCUCGUAGUC